rnacentral:rRNA from 1 species
AGUUUGAUCCUGGCUCAGGAUGAACGCCCGGCUGUGUGCCUAAUACAUGCAAGUCGUACGCACUGGCCCAACUGAUUGAUGGUGCUUGCACCUGAUUGACGUUGGAUCACCAGUGAGUGGCGGACGGGUGAGUAACACGUAGGUAACCUGCCCCGGAGCGGGGGGAUAACAUUUGGAAACAGAUGCUAAUACCGCAUAACAACAAAAGCCACAUGGCUUUUGUUUGAAAGAUGGCUUUGGCUAUCACUCUGGGAUGGACCUGCGGUGCAUUAGCUAGUUGGUAAGGUAACGGCUUACCAAGGCGAUGAUGCAUAGCCGAGUUGAGAGACUGAUCGGCCACAAUGGAACUGAGACACGGUCCAUACUCCUACGGGAGGCAGCAGUAGGGAAUCUUCCACAAUGGGCGCAAGCCUGAUGGAGCAACACCGCGUGAGUGAAGAAGGGUUUCGGCUCGUAAAGCUCUGUUGUUGGAGAAGAACGUGCGUGAGAGUAACUGUUCACGCAGUGACGGUAUCCAACCAGAAAGUCACGGCUAACUACGUGCCAGCAGCCGCGGUAAUACGUAGGUGGCAAGCGUUAUCCGGAUUUAUUGGGCGUAAAGCGAGCGCAGGCGGUUGCUUAGGUCUGAUGUGAAAGCCUUCGGCUUAACCGAAGAAGUGCAUCGGAAACCGGGCGACUUGAGUGCAGAAGAGGACAGUGGAACUCCAUGUGUAGCGGUGGAAUGCGUAGAUAUAUGGAAGAACACCAGUGGCGAAGGCGGCUGUCUGGUCUGCAACUGACGCUGAGGCUCGAAAGCAUGGGUAGCGAACAGGAUUAGAUACCCUGGUAGUCCAUGCCGUAAACGAUGAGUGCUAAGUGUUGGAGGGUUUCC